rnacentral:pre_miRNA from 10 species
ACUUUAUGUAUUUCGUGGAUGAUUUCUACACAGACUGGGCCAUAGAAACCAGUGUGUGGAAAUGCUUCUGUUACAUGUUUAGG